rfam:Ictidomys tridecemlineatus contig099244, whole genome shotgun sequence.
GGGGUUGUGGCUCAGUGGCAGAGCACUUGCCUAGCAUGUGUGAGGUACUGGGUUCGAUUCUCAGCACCA